GACGAACGCUGGCGGCGUGCUUAACACAUGCAAGUCGAGCGGAGCGGCGAACGGGUGAGUAACGCGUGAGUAACUGCCCCCCUCUCUGGGAUAACAGUUGGAAACGGCUGCUAAUACCGGAUAGUGGGGGAUGACUCGCGUCCUAUCAGCUUGUUGGUGGGGUAGUGGCCUACCAAGGCGACGACGGGUAGCCGGCCUGAGAGGGCGACCGGCCACAUUGGGCUGAGAUACGGCCCAAACUCCUACGGGAGGCGGCAGUGGGGACUACUGUGCGAGGGAGGAAAACCUGAUGCAGCAACGCCGCGUGCGGGAUGACGGCCUUCGAGUUGUAAACCGCUUUCAGCCAUGACGCAAUAGUGGCAGAAGAAGCACCGGCUAACUACGUGCCAGCAACCGCGGUAAUUC
rnacentral:rRNA from 1 species